AUUAUACUCCCUCCGUCCGAAAAUACUUGUCAUCAAAAUGGACAAAAAGGGAUGUAUCUAAAACUAAAAUACAUCUAGAUACAUCCCUUUUAUCCAUUUUAAUGACAAGUAUUUCCAGACGGAGGGAGUAUAUA
rnacentral:pre_miRNA from 1 species